rnacentral:rRNA from 1 species
UACGAAGGGGGCUAGCGUUGCUCGGAAUCACUGGGCGUAAAGGGUGCGUAGGCGGGGUUCUUUAAGUCAGGGGUGAAAUCCCAAGGCUCCAACCUUGGAACUGCCUUUGAUACUGGGGAUCUCGAGUCCGGAAGAGGUGAGUGGAACUGCGGAGUGUAGAGGUGAAAUUCGUAGGUAUUCGACAAGAACACCAGUGGCGAAGGCGGCUCACUGGUCCGGUACUGACGCUGAGGUGCGAAAGCGUGGGAGC